AUACGGAGGGUGCGAGCGUUAAUCGGAAUUACUGGGCGUAAAGCGUGCGUAGGCGGUUGAUUUAGUCAGAUGUGAAAGCCCCGGGCUCAACCUGGGAACUGCAUUUGAAACUGGUCAACUGGAGUAUGGUAGAGGGGGGUAGAAUUUCUGGUGUAGCGGUGAAAUGCGUAGAUAUCAGAGGGAAUACCGAUGGCGAAGGCAGCCCCCUGGACCAAUACUGACGCUGAGGUACGAAAGCGUGGGGAGCAAACAGGAUUAGAAACCCCUGUAGUCC
rnacentral:rRNA from 1 species